rnacentral:RNase_P_RNA from 1 species
AGGAGACUGGACGGCUGCGCUUCAUUUUUUUAUCAUGGAGUGAGGAAAGUCCGGACUCCACGGGCAGAGGUGCUGGGUAACGCCCAGGCGGAGCGAUCCGACACCGGCGCCACAGAGAAUAUACCGCCGAUGGAUGGGAAAGGUAUUUCCAUCACAGGUAAGGGUGAAAUGGCGAGGUAAGAGCUCACCGCGUUUGUGGUAACACAAACGGCACGGCAAGCGUCACCUGGAGCAAGACCAAAUAGGAGGGAAUCUUUGACAAGAGGCUGGCCCAGCCGUUUCCCUCGGGUAGGUCGCUAGAGACCCGAAGCAAUUCUGGUUCAAGAGAAAUGGUCGUCGCCGUCCUGAGUCAGUCUCAUGGCGGAACAGAAUCCGGCUUAUAGGUCUCCUCA